AUUGAACGCUGGCGGCAGGCCUAACACAUGCAAGUCGGGCGGAGCGGCGGACGGGUGAGUAAUGCCUAGGAAUCUGCCUGGUAGUGGGGGAUAACGUCCGGAAACGGGCGCUAAUACCGCAUACUAUCAGAUGAGCCUAGGUCGGAUUAGCUAGUUGGUGGGGUAAAGGCCUACCAAGGCGACGAUCCGUAACUGGUCUGAGAGGAUGAUCAGUCACACUGGAACUGAGACACGGUCCAGCCUCCUAGGGUAAGCAGCAGUGGGGAAUAUUGGACAAUGGGCGAAAGCAUGAGCCAGACAUGCCGAGUGUGUGAAGAAGGUCUCCGGUGUGUAACGCACUUUAAGUUGUGAGGCGUUACCAACAGAACAAUCCCCGGCUAACUUCGUGCCAGCAGCCGCGGUAAUAC
rnacentral:rRNA from 1 species